GGCUCGCUGGCGUCACCUCUCAACCACUGCUUCUGGCAAAAAUGCCAUGCAUCAUCCCGACUCGGCUGUGGACCUCAACAAUUUCUUCUUGAGCCUUGUCCUGAGUGUGAGAGAACACCCAGAUCACGCCUGCCAGGACAGUAUAGCACUAUCUGCUCAGAUCUCCGGGCUCUGCACCAGCCGCUGCAGCAUGGCCACCUCAAGAUGGCUCCAUCUCGACUUCCCAUGGCCAGCUGGGAAACAUGAGUGCUUUUUAUGCACCAGUGCACCGUGCGUGCAACUCUGGAUGCACUAAGGCUGCCCUGCACUGAGACCCCCGGCACUAUGCGCCCAUUACGUGACUUGGCUUUUCUCUGCUCCCUGUGCACCUGAGACCUGAGGGUGGUCUUGUUGAUGAAGAGGGGAAAUAUUAAGGUCCCCGUUUGUUACAAAGACUUGCAUAUCUGAGGAACCAGACCAGUGCUUCGACGUGCACAGCCACGUGAACUUCACCCUCGGUCCCAGAAAUUGCUAAAGCCCUUGCUGGGCUCCUUCCUUGCCCUGAAGGAAUGCGUUGAGGUUUUGGAAGAAAGAUCUAAAAACCUGGGCUGCAUGUCAUCGAGGGGAAAGUUCAAAUCAGCACUGCACAAGGGCAGAUGGGAAGGGACUCAGGCAGUCCCCAGAGUUGUUUAGAAGAUGUGGUUUCUGCAGGGGUCUCCAGGCUGGGCCUGGGCAGAGGGAAGGGGCUGUCAUUUACAGACAGAUCAGUGUCGUCGUUUCUGAUCUGUGGCUGGGACAGUGGGAGGCAGUGGCCUUGGCUGUGCCUGCUUCCCACAACUCUUUGGUUUCAGCCUGAAAACUUCAGUGUUGGCUGGUGUGGGAAGCUCCCCUGGGAUGGCUAGCCAAGUCCCUGAGGGAUCGGGAGACGUGGGUCUGAGUAGAGACCUACCUUGGGGCUAGGGAUAUUUACUGAACCAGGAUGCUGUUCCUCUUGUGCUUUUUAAAAUUUUGAGAUCAAAUUCACCUAACAUAGAAGUAUCCUUUUGAAAGUAUAGUAUUCACUGGCAUUUAAUACAUUCCCAAUGUGGCACAACCGUCACCCCAACUAGUUCCAAAAAGUUUUUAUACCCCAAACAGGGAGCCCCUGCCAUAAGCAUCAGUCCUCCUUCCCUCUCUGUGACUCCCUGGCCUCCACCCACCUGUGCUCUGUCUCUGUGAACUUUCCUAUUCUGGACAUUUCCUACAGGUGGAGUCAUAUCAUAUGGGUUUUUGUGACUAGCUUCUCUCAUUUAGCACAGUCCCUUCCAGGUUCCUCCACAUCAUGUCAUGUCUCAGCAUUGGUCCUUCUCAUGGCCUGGUGAUGUUCCAGUGUAUGGACAGAUUACAUUUGGUUUAUCAAUUCAUCCGUUGGUGACCAUUUGGGUUGUUUCUGUCUUUUGUUUAUUGAGAAUAUUGCCUUUGGGGGGGGGUAAUGGAGAUUAA